rnacentral:piRNA from 1 species
UGUUCAGGUUAAGGUAAAGGAUCGUGGAGU